rnacentral:lncRNA from 1 species
UCUAUCAAAACAUUCGUCUUCUUUACUAGCUGCUUGUCCUGCAACCUGCCUUCCUCCAACUCCUUCACCUUCACCUUCACCUUCACCUUGCAGAUCUAUCACCUGCCUUUUCCCUCACGAUUCAGAACAAGCUUGCAAAUAUCACCUUUCAGCUGGCUAGCACCAUCCGCGUUACGAUGCCACAUCGGCUAAAAAGUCAUCCCGAGGCUGGUUUGGAUCACUAAUGGACGCAUAAUCGAGUUUAGGGACGUUAAAGUGCAAUUUAAGAGUAUAGGGACCUAGAUGACACACCUCGACAAGUUUAAGGACCGCUAAUGCACUUCACUCCUAAUUUUAUUUCCUAUAGAUGUUAAUCGACACCCCUUGUGAUGUACUUUCCCGUGUGCAUGAGCCAGCAUGAUAUAAUAGGUUUUGGAGACAUCCGGAUAAAUAGAUCAGAAGCUUAUCAAUGUAGUUGAUGAUAAAUUGAUGGAGUUCGAUAUGCACUUGCACAGGGGUGACCGAUAUCCGGGAUUCAUGGAGAAUGUGGCAUUUUUCAUACAUAAUUAACCAUAGCAUCUGGGUGCAAGCAGUGGCGGAUCUGUCAUAGGAUCUGUCACAUGGGCUACUUCACUAUUGAUUCUAAUACCAUCGAGAUCCCUCUAAGCACUCACUAAAUUUUCUGUCAUAGGUUUAUAGAAAGAGAGAUUAAAUUUCUUUCUAAAGGUUCAAGAAGAACCCCACUAAUACUUUUUUCUAGAUUCGCCCCUUAGUGCAAGAGACGCCUCUAUUCUAGGAGGUCGCCCACUUGGAUGGCGGUGAACUUCAUUGUGCUCCUUGUUGUU